rnacentral:rRNA from 1 species
GAUGAACGCUGGCGGCGUGCCUAAUACAUGCGAGUCGAGCGAACAGAUGAGGAGCUUGCUCCUCUGACGUUAGCGGCGGACGGGUGAGUAACACGUGGAUAACCUACCUAUAAGACUGGGAUAACUUCGGGAAACCGGAGCUAAUACCGGAUAAAAUAUUGAACCGCAUGGUUCAAUAGUGAAAGACGGUUUUGCUGUCACUUAUAGAUGGAUCCGCGCCGCAUUAGCUAGUUGGUAAGGUAACGGCUUACCAAGGCAACGAUGCGUAGCCGACCUGAGAGGGGGAUCGCCCCCCUGGGAAUGGAACCACGGCCCCAACUCCUAGGGGGGGCAGCAGUGGGGAAUUUUCCGCAAGGGGGAAAACCCGACCGAACCACCGCCGCGUGAGUGAUAAAGUUCUUCGCAUCUUAAACCUUUUUUAUGAGGAAAGAAAAAAUGGUAAAGUAACGAUGCACUUCUUGACGUCACCUAACCAAAAAGCCCCGGAUAACUCCGUC